AUGUAGCCAAGUGGAUCAAGGCAGUGGAUUGU
rnacentral:tRNA from 1 species